rnacentral:rRNA from 1 species
AUUGAACGCUGGCGGCAUGCCUUACACAUGCAAGUCGAACGGUAACAGGUCUUCGGAUGCUGACGAGUGGCGAACGGGUGAGUAAUACAUCGGAACGUGCCCGAGAGUGGGGGAUAACGAAGCGAAAGCUUUGCUAAUACCGCAUACGAUCUCAGGAUGAAAGCAGGGGACCGCAAGGCCUUGCGCUCACGGAGCGGCCGAUGGCAGAUUAGGUAGUUGGUGGGAUAAAAGCUUACCAAGCCGACGAUCUGUAGCUGGUCUGAGAGGACGACCAGCAACACUGGGACUGAGACACGGCCCAGACUCCUACGGGAGGCAGCAGUGGGGAAUUUUGGACACUGGGCGCAAGCCUGAUCCAGCCAUGCCGCGUGCAGGAUGAAGGCCUUCGGGUUGUAAACUGCUUUUGUACGGAACGAAAAGACUCCUUCUAAUAAAGGGGGUCCAUGACGGUACCGUAAGAAUAAGCACCGGCUAACUACGUGCCAGCAGCCGCAGUAACAC